rnacentral:rRNA from 1 species
AGAGUUUGAUCCUGGCUCAGAUUGAACGCUGGCGGCAUGCCUAACACAUGCAAGUCGAACGGUAACAGGCUUGGGGUAACUCAAGUGCUGACGAGUGGCGGACGGGUGAGUAAUACGUAGGAAUCUACCUUUUAGACUGGGACAACUCGGGGAAACUCGAGCUAAUACCGGAUGCGUCCUGAGGGAGGAAGAUGGGGAACCUGAGAGGGUCCUGUCGCUGAGAGAUGAGCCUACGUCGGAUUAGCUAGUUGGUAGGGUAAUGGCCUACCAAGGCGACGAUCCGUAGCUGUUCUGAGAGGAAGAUCAGCCACACUGGGACUGAGACACGGCCCAGACUCCUACGGGAGGCAGCAGUGGGGAAUAUUGGACAAUGGGGGAAACCCUGAUCCAGCAAUGCCGCGUGUGUGAAGAAGGCCUGAGGGUUGUAAAGCACUUUAGUUGAGGAAGAAGUGUAGACGUUUAAGAGAUGUUUACAUUGACGUUACUCGAAGAAUAAGCACCGGCUAACUCUGUGCCAGCAGCCGCGGUAAUACAGAGGGUGCGAGCGUUAAUCGGAAUGACUGGGCGUAAAGGGCGCGUAGGCGGCAUUAUAAGUCAAGUUUAAAAUACCUGGGCUUAACCUGGGGGCGAGACGUGAUACUGUAAUGCUUGAGUAUAGGAGAGGGGAGUGGAAUUUCCGGUGUAGCGGUGAAAUGCGUAGAUAUCGGAAGGAACACCAGUGGCGAAGGCGACUCCCUGGCCUAAUACUGACGCUGAGGUGCGAAAGCGUGGGUAGCGAACAGGAUUAGAUACCCUGUAGUCCACGCUGUAAACGAUGAAGACUAGCUGUUGGAAUGGAAGCAUUUUAGUGGCGCAGCAAACGCGAUAAGUCUUCCGCCUGGGGAGUACGACCGCAAGGUUAAAACUCAAAGGAAUUGACGGGGGCCCGCACAAGCGGUGGAGCAUGUGGUUUAAUUCGAUGCAACGCGAAGAACCUUACCUACGCUUGACAUCCUUGGAAGGGGACAGAGAUGUUCUCGUGCCGAAAGGAGCCAAGAGACAGGUGCUGCAUGGCUGUCGUCAGCUCGUGUCGUGAGAUGUUGGGUUAAGUCCCGUAACGAGCGCAACCCCUGUUGCUAGUUGCCAUCAUUAAGUUGGGUACUCUAGUGAGACUGCCGGUGAUAAACCGGAGGAAGGCGGGGAUGACGUCAAGUCAUCAUGGCCUUUAUGCGUAGGGCUACACACGUGCUACAAUGGCCGGUACAGAGAGAUGCGAAGCUGCGAAGUGGAGCUAACCUCAGAAAGCCGGUCGUAGUCCGGAUUGGAGUCUGCAACUCGACUCCAUGAAGCUGGAAUCGCUAGUAAUCGCGGAUCAGAACGCCGCGGUGAAUACGUUCUCGGGCCUUGUACACACCGCCCGUCACACCAUGGGAGUGGGUGGUACCAGAAGCGGGUAGACUAACCGAAAGGGGGUCGCUUGCCACGGUAUGAUUCAUGACUGGGGUGAAGUCGUAACAAGGUA